rnacentral:rRNA from 1 species
UGGGGAAUUUUGGACAAUGGGCGCAAGCCUGAUCCAGCCAUGCCGCGUGCGGGAAGAAGGCCUUCGGGUUGUAAACCGCUUUUGUCAGGGAAGAAAUCUUCUGAGUUAAUACCUCGGGAGGAUGACGGUACCUGAAGAAUAAGCACCGGCUAACUACGUGCCAGCAGCCGCGGUAAUACGUAGGGUGCAAGCGUUAAUCGGAAUUACUGGGCGUAAAGCGUGCGCAGGCGGUUUUGUAAGACAGAGGUGAAAUCCCCGGGCUCAACCUGGGAACUGCCUUUGUGACUGCAAGGCUUGAGUGCGGCAGAGGGGGGAUGGAAUUCCGCGUGUAGCAGUGAAAUGCGUAGAUAUGCGGAGGAACACCGAUGGCGAAGGCAAUCCCCUGGGCCUGCACUGACGCUCAUGCACGAAAGCGUGGGGAGCAAACAGGAUUAGAUACCCUGGUAGUCCACGCCCUAAACGAUGUCAACUGGUUGUUGGGAAGGUUCCUUCUCAGUAACGUAGCUAACGCGUGAGGUUGACCGCCUGGGGAGUACGGCCGCAAGGUUGAAACUCAAAUGAAUUGACGGGGUCAUAGCUGUUU